rnacentral:lncRNA from 1 species
GCGGAGGGAGUAUUAAAUUAUUUCAUUAUUAAACCUAAAUUAACAAAAUUAAAUUAACUAAUUUCGAAAAACCGGAAAUGAAGGAUUGGUUUAUUAAAACAAUUUCUUAAAAUGCGAAUGUUUCAUUCAAGAUUAGGUAGUUUUAGAAUUGAAGUUACUUCAAUAUUGCAAAAGCUUGGGCAGCCCAAAAGAAUAAAUAAAAAAUCGAGCCCAAAUCAUUCACCCCUAAAAUUGAGAGUUCAAAAGCAUAAAGAGAGCCUUAAUCUUCUCCUUCAAGAGCCGUCCCCCGUUUCCUCUUCAAC